CCUGGUGGCUCAGUGGUAGAGAACCUGCCUGCAAUGCAGGAGACACGGGUUCAACCCCUGGGUCAGGA
rfam:Ovis aries breed Texel chromosome 2, whole genome shotgun sequence.